GGGUUGUGAGGUUAAGCGACUAAGCGUACACGGUGGAUGCCCUGGCAGUCAGAGGCGAUGAAGGACGUGCUAAUCUGCGAAAAGCGCCGGCGAGGUGAUAUGAACCUUUGACCCGGCGAUGUCCGAAUGGGGAAACCCAGUGCAAUUCGUUGCACUAUCGUUAACUGAAUACAUAGGUUAACGAGGCGAACCGGGGGAACUGAAACAUCUAAGUACCCCGAGGAAAAGAAAUCAACCGAGAUUCCCCCAGUAGCGGCGAGCGAACGGGGAGCAGCCCAGAGUCUGAAUCAGCUUGUGUGUUAGUGGAAGCGUCUGGAAAGUCGCACGGUACAGGGUGACAGUCCCGUACACGAAAGCACACAGGCUGUGAACUCGAAGAGUAGGGCGGGACACGUGGUAUCCUGUCUGAAUAUGGGGGGACCAUCCUCCAAGGCUAAAUACUCCUGACUGACCGAUAGUGAACCAGUACCGUGAGGGAAAGGCGAAAAGAACCCCGGCGAGGGGAGUGAAAAAGAACCUGAAACCGUGUACGUACAAGCAGUGGGAGCACCUUCGUGGUGUGACUGCGUACCUUUUGUAUAAUGGGUCAGCGACUUAUAUUCUGUAGCAAGGUUAACCGUAUAGGGGAGCCGAAGGGAAACCGAGUCUUAACUGGGCGUUAAGUUGCAGGGUAUAGACCCGAAACCCGGUGAUCUAGCCAUGGGCAGGUUGAAGGUUGGGUAACACUAACUGGAGGACCGAACCGACUAAUGUUGAAAAAUUAGCGGAUGACUUGUGGCUGGGGGUGAAAGGCCAAUCAAACCGGGAGAUAGCUGGUUCUCCCCGAAAGCUAUUUAGGUAGCGCCUCGUGAAUUCAUCUUCGGGGGUAGAGCACUGUUUCGGCUAGGGGGCCAUCCCGGCUUACCAACCCGAUGCAAACUACGAAUACCGAAGAAUGUUAUCACGGGAGACACACGGCGGGUGCUAACGUCCGUCGUGAAGAGGGAAACAACCCAGACCGCCAGCUAAGGUCCCAAAGUCAUGGUUAAGUGGGAAACGAUGUGGGAAGGCACAGACAGCCAGGAUGUUGGCUUAGAAGCAGCCAUCAUUUAAAGAAAGCGUAAUAGCUCACUGGUCGAGUCGGCCUGCGCGGAAGAUGUAACGGGGCUAAACCAUGCACCGAAGCUGCGGCAGCGACGCUUAUGCGUUGUUGGGUAGGGGAGCGUUCUGUAAGCCGUUGAAGGUGGCCUGUGAGGGUUGCUGGAGGUAUCAGAAGUGCGAAUGCUGACAUAAGUAACGAUAAAGCGGGUGAAAAGCCCGCUCGCCGGAAGACCAAGGGUUCCUGUCCAACGUUAAUCGGGGCAGGGUGAGUCGACCCCUAAGGCGAGGCCGAAAGGCGUAGUCGAUGGGAAACAGGUUAAUAUUCCUGUACUUGGUGUUACUGCGAAGGGGGGACGGAGAAGGCUAUGUUAGCCGGGCGACGGUUGUCCCGGUUUAAGCAUGUAGGCGGAGGUUCCAGGUAAAUCCGGUACCUUAUUAACGCUGAGGUGUGAUGACGAGGCACUACGGUGCUGAAGUAACAAAUGCCCUGCUUCCAGGAAAAGCCUCUAAGCAUCAGGUAACAUCAAAUCGUACCCCAAACCGACACAGGUGGUCAGGUAGAGAAUACCAAGGCGCUUGAGAGAACUCGGGUGAAGGAACUAGGCAAAAUGGUGCCGUAACUUCGGGAGAAGGCACGCUGAUAUGUAGGUGAAGCCCCUGCGGGUGGAGCUGAAAUCAGUCGAAGAUACCAGCUGGCUGCAACUGUUUAUUAAAAACACAGCACUGUGCAAACACGAAAGUGGACGUAUACGGUGUGACGCCUGCCCGGUGCCGGAAGGUUAAUUGAUGGGGUUAGCGGCAACGCGAAGCUCUUGAUCGAAGCCCCGGUAAACGGCGGCCGUAACUAUAACGGUCCUAAGGUAGCGAAAUUCCUUGUCGGGUAAGUUCCGACCUGCACGAAUGGCGUAAUGAUGGCCAGGCUGUCUCCACCCGAGACUCAGUGAAAUUGAACUCGCUGUGAAGAUGCAGUGUACCCGCGGCAAGACGGAAAGACCCCGUGAACCUUUACUAUAGCUUGACACUGAACACUGGUCCUUGAUGUGUAGGAUAGGUGGGAGGCUUUGAAGCGUGGACGCCAGUCUGCGUGGAGCCGUCCUUGAAAUACCACCCUUUAAUGGCUGGUGUUCUAACGUAGACCCGUGAUCCGGGUUGCGGACAGUGUCUGGUGGGUAGUUUGACUGGGGCGGUCUCCUCCCAAAGAGUAACGGAGGAGCACGAAGGUUAGCUAAUCCUGGUCGGACAUCAGGAGGUUAGUGCAAUGGCAUAAGCUAGCUUGACUGCGAGAGUGACGGCUCGAGCAGGUGCGAAAGCAGGUCAUAGUGAUCCGGUGGUUCUGAAUGGAAGGGCCAUCGCUCAACGGAUAAAAGGUACUCCGGGGAUAACAGGCUGAUACCGCCCAAGAGUUCAUAUCGACGGCGGUGUUUGGCACCUCGAUGUCGGCUCAUCACAUCCUGGGGCUGAAGUAGGUCCCAAGGGUAUGGCUGUUCGCCAUUUAAAGUGGUACGCGAGCUGGGUUUAGAACGUCGUGAGACAGUUCGGUCCCUAUCUGCCGUGGGCGCUGGAGAAUUGAGGGGGGCUGCUCCUAGUACGAGAGGACCGGAGUGGACGCAUCACUGGUGUUCGGGUUGUCAUGCCAAUGGCACUGCCCGGUAGCUAAAUGCGGAAAAGAUAAGUGCUGAAAGCAUCUAAGCACGAAACUUGCCCCGAGAUGAGUUCUCCCUGAGACUUUAAGUCUCCUGAAGGAACGUUGAAGACGACGACGUUGAUAGGUCGGGUGUGUAAGCGCAGCGAUGCGUUGAGCUAACCGAUACUAAUGAACCGUGAGGCUUAACCUUACAACGCCGAAGGUGUUU
rnacentral:rRNA from 1 species